GAUGAACGCUGGCGGCGUGCCUAAUACAUGCAAGUCGAGCGAACAGACGAGGAGCUUGCUCCUUCGACGUUAGCGGCGGACGGGUGAGUAACACGUAGGUAACCUACCUAUAAGACUGGGAUAACUUCGGGAAACCGGAGCUAAUACCGGAUAAUAUUUCGAACCGCAUGGUUCGAUAGUGAAAGAUGGCUUUGCUAUCACUUAUAGAUGGACCUGCGCCGUAUUAGCUAGUUGGUAAGGUAACGGCUUACCAAGGCAACGAUACGUAGCCGACCUGAGAGGGUGAUCGGCCACACUGGAACUGAGACACGGUCCAGACUCCUACGGGAGGCAGCAGUAGGGAAUCUUCCGCAAUGGGCGAAAGCCUGACGGAGCAACGCCGCGUAAGUGAUGAAGGUCUUCGGAUCGUAAAACUCUGUUAUUAGGGAAGAACAAACGUGUAAGUAACUGUGCACGUCUUGACGGUACCUAAUCAGAAAGCCACGGCUAACUACGU
rnacentral:rRNA from 1 species